CGCAAGCUCGACCGCUGCUUCAAGACGUUCACCUUGUAAGACCACCUGAGUUCGUAUUCACGUCGGCAGCUCAGCGGGCGGGGGCGCAAAAGUAUGUGAUGAGCCGCAUUUCUUGCGCUGCCAAUGCCUGCCGCCUCCGCACGCAAACUGUUCGUGACUACAAGCAUUAGCUAUGUGGCAGGCACGUGGUGAUCCGUUCGUGUGCUCUGCUUGACACGCGCAUGGGAGAAAGCCGUCAACAUGGCUUGACGUGGGACUCGAUGCAGCACAUUCUGCGGAGGCACGUAGGCGCGUGAAGGGCAAACAGGAAAGCGACUUUGUCCCACUUUGCCACGCGGUGGAGGCGGUGGGGGAAGGCCGGGAAGCGGAACUACCUCUCGUCCGGUAUGUCUCCUGGACGAGAAAGAUGUUUUCGGAUGCAGCGGCCAUAUUCCCAGACAAGGCAGUGCCUCUGCUGGUACGGGGUGCGGCCCAUCGUCUCGUCUUGUUGAGCGAAGAAAUCUUGGCAUAGUUGUGCUCCUGCUUCUUUUCGCGUUUGGCCCACCCCCCAAGAAUCGAAAGCGCGAGAAGUUACCCAAUACCCGCGGUCGACGGCGUACGUCACGUCUCUCAGAGGCAUUGCCGCCUGCCGCGGCCACGGAACCGGCAGGGGUAGACCCAAAAACAAUAUGGGAGCCUUACGCAAGCUACCUUGUUGCAUAUUCUCGUCACCGUUUAGCUGAACCCUCACAGGCUUUCACGCGCUCCUCGAUUGUAAGACAAGCGGUUUCCUGGCGUGCUUGAUCAGCUGCCGUCGCCGAAGUGAUCAGCUGGCUGGAUCCGCCGCACACACGCGUUGCCUCGAGUUGAAGAUAAGAGACUCCCAAAGGGCGUUUUCACAGUUCAUGGUCGGCCCACGCCCUGUGUGCUCUGUGCCAGUGUGCCGCACCAGUGCCAUCGAGAACGACACGAACGCCAUGCACGUCGGCUUCGCUAAACUCUUCGGCUGCGGUCUUCUGCAGUUCGGCUGCGUACGUGAAGAAAAUCGCAUGACACUUGCACCGCAGAUGGCGGUUUCGCGCGUCUAGUGCCAGGGGCUGUCCGAUAGGGAGGUGCUUUUUGUGAGUGGUGCGCAGACUUUCUGCCACUCCGGCGGCCACGCUGAGGAGUUCCAUUACAAGGGUGGCUGUGAUCCCUGGGCUCCGCAGAAUGAAGAGGCGAUCGAAGCUGACAGCGCACGGGCAGUGAGUCUAGUACCCGCAAGCGUUUGUGGGGGGCUGCACCUCCACACGGAGGCGCCGAUACUGAUUCAUAACGGCUGCAUCCUCGCAAUGAACGUUCACAAAUUCCGAGCAUGAGGCGAACCUUCAGACCAACACGGAGGGGCCCCCUUUCCCCACCGCGAGAUUCGCAAAGCAUGCGUUGGCUUUCGCGGCGCCCUCCGAGGUGAUGUGGAGCGGAAGCUGCUCUUUACGUGCUAGGCGACGUCCCAGUUUGGGGAUUCAACCCUACACGACGAUGUCCUUGAGUGGCCGCUGACGAACUUCAACGACGUUCGCUGGCAGGACCGCCCCAAUGGGUGCGUGAUGGGGCAUCUAGUGCGCGGACGUGUGGAAUACGGCAAGCAUUGCAGAACACAAAUAUGACGCUUCUGCGCUAGUGUCACCGCUGCCGUACAUUUCACAGCACGCCUGUUGCACCGCGGCCGAUUGAGGCCGACCUUGCUGUUUUGCACUCUAUCAACGCCACAGGAGUACACAAGUGAAGGUGUGCGGUGAUCGUCGGCACAUGGCACCCCUUCAUGAUGUGUUUUUUUUUUUUGUUGUUGUUUUUUUUUGUUUUUACCGGAUUCCGCGAUGUCUUGUCCCUAUCAUUUCGUUCUCUUCUUACCAUUUGCGUAUUGUAGGGCUUUCCGCUGCAUCUGCCUCCGCGAUUGUGUGUUCUUCCUUCGUCCGCUGCCUGGGCUUACCUCUACUGCUUUUGAGUCCCGUUGGCCGUUGAGUAGGCAGGGCGCACGGCCACGUGCCCAUACACCGACGAAGGUAGAAUGAGCGGUCUGUGCCUGCAAGUCAAGCAGCUGAAAAGGCAAAAGGAAAAAAAUCACCGAGAGGGCAACAUUUCGUGAUCCGUCCCGUUUUUUUUUCCUGCAUUGUGUGUGAUGCAACUAUGCAAAUCGAUAGAUGUAUGUAGACCCCACCCCUUUUUCUUCUUUUUGACCGAUAUCGCCUUGUUUUUGCCGCUGCCGGCGCCGGCGGGGCUGCGGGGUUGGUGGGGGGCUGGGCGCAGUUAGGCAGGCACCCAGACAAAUCAGCUCUGCGACGUUCUCCUCUCUGAGCGGUUUUCUCCGUGGCGCACUCGCCAUCAUUUUCUCCUUUCCCUUUUUCGUUUUCACGCGUGCGUGCGGGUGUGUGUGUGGCUUCUCUCCUUUGACUGCUCGUGGCUCUCUUCCUUUCACACAGUUCCUCCGUCCCCGCUCUAUACUCACGUAGACGCCGAAUACGUCUGCACCACAGGC
rnacentral:misc_RNA from 1 species